CCUACGGGAGGCAGCAGUGAGGAAUAUUGGUCAAUGGCCGGAAGGCUGAACCAGCCAAGUCGCGUGAGGGACGACUGCACUAUGGAUUGUAAACCUCUUUUGUAAGGGAAGAAUAAAUGCUACGUGUAGCAUGAUGCCUGUACCUUAUGAAUAAGCAUCGGCUAACUCCGUGCCAGCAGCCGCGGUAAUACGGAGGAUGCGAGCGUUAUCCGGAUUUAUUGGGUUUAAAGGGUGCGAGGGGGGUUUGUUAAGUUAGUGGUAAAACGUCGGGGCUACACCUUGUUUUGCCAUUGAAACUGUAAGACUCGAGUUCAGACGAGGUAGGCGGAAUGCGUGGAGUAGCGGUGAAAUGCUUAGAUAUUACGUAGAACUCCGAUAGCGAAGGCAGCUUACCGGACUGCGACUGACGCUGAGGCACGAAAGCGUGGGUAGCGAACAGGAUUAGAUACCCUGGUAGUC
rnacentral:rRNA from 1 species